rnacentral:ncRNA from 1 species
GGGCGUGUUCUUAGCACGGUCGCAGCAAAGUCGUGUUAAUAGCGAUGCCUUUGGCCAGACAUCGUGGUUAGUGAAUC